rnacentral:tRNA from 1 species
GCCUCCGUAGCGCAGUAGGCAGCGCGUAAGUCUCAUAAUCUUAAGGUCGUGAGUUCGAUCCUCACCGGGGGCA